CCUACGGGGGGCAGCAGUGGGGAAUAUUGCACAAUGGGCGCAAGCCUGAUGCAGCGACGCCGCGUGAGGGAUGACGGCCUUCGGGUUGUAAACCUCUUUCAGUAGGGAAGAAGCGAAAGUGACGGUACCUGCAGAAGAAGCACCGGCUAACUACGUGCCAGCAGCCGCGGUAAUACGUAGGGUGCGAGCGUUAUCCGGAAUUAUUGGGCGUAAAGAGCUCGUAGGCGGUUUGUCGCGUCUGUCGUGAAAGUCCGGGGCUUAACCCCGGAUCUGCGGUGGGUACGGGCAGACUAGAGUGCAGUAGGGGAGACUGGAAUUCCUGGUGUAGCGGUGGAAUGCGCAGAUAUCAGGAGGAACACCGAUGGCGAAGGCAGGUCUCUGGGCUGUAACUGACGCUGAGGAGCGAAAGCAUGGGGAGCGAACAGGAUUAGAUACCCGAGUAGUC
rnacentral:rRNA from 1 species